UCCUGGGUGGCUCAGAGGUAAAGAAUCUGCCUAUGAUGCAGGAGACCCAGGUUCGAUCCCUGGGUUGGGAA
rnacentral:tRNA from 1 species